rnacentral:tRNA from 1 species
AUUUAAAUAAUUUAAUAAAAAAUAUUGAUUUGUGGUAUCAAAAAUAUGAUGAUUUCAUUUUAAAUU